rfam:Macleaya cordata isolate BLH2017 scaffold4957, whole genome shotgun sequence.
AAUCUAGUGAUGAGGGCAAGAUGCACAUAGCUUCUUGAAUCUCUCCCAAUACUCAUAUAAACUCUCUCCAUUUUGUUGCCGAACACCAUAUAUUUCUUUCCUAAUAUU